UCCGUAGGUGAACCUGCGGAAGGAUCAUUACUGAGUUAGGGUCUCAUCUCGAGCCCGAACCUCCAACCCUUUGUAUAAAACACUUUGUUGCUUUGGCAGGCCCGUCUGAAAAUCCUUUAAUCGGGAUCGACGACCGCCGGGGGCGUUCAGUCACCUCUGGCCAGUGCUUGCCGAUAGCCUAUUCAAAAUUCUUUAUUAAAUCAUGUCUGAAAAAUUAUAACUAAAUAUAAUUAAAACUUUUAACAACGGAUCUCUUGGUUCUGGCAUCGAUGAAGAACGCAGCGAAAUGCGAUAAGUAAUGUGAAUUGCAGAAUUCAGUGAAUCAUCGAAUCUUUGAACGCACAUUGCGCCCUUUGGUAUUCCGAAGGGCAUGCCUGUUCGAGCGUCAUUAUCAACCCUCAAGCUCGGCUUGUUAUUGGGUCCUUAUCGUUAAAGAUAGGCCCGAAAGAUAAUGGCGGCGUCAUAAAUGACCCCAGAUGCAGCGAGCUUAUAGCAUACAUCGAAAGGUUUUUAUGGCCCGGCCUUAACGAGAAGCAAUUCUCAAUUUAUUUAAAGGUUGACCUCGGAUCAGGUAGGAAUACCCGCUGAACUUAAGCAUAUCAAUAAGCGGAGGA
rnacentral:rRNA from 1 species